UCCUCUGCAAGAAUAGCGAUAGCUCUUAACCGCUGCGCCAUCUCUCCUUCCCUGAAAUCUGUUGAAGUCAUGAAUCCUGGUUUGUCCUGAGUCGAGGUCCCUAAAGCUUAGGGAAGAUCUCGGGCUGCUAAGGAUGACCACACAGAGCCAUGUCUCUAGUCCUCACUACUAACACUUCUGGGGGCUUCUGCUGAGAUCCAUCUUGAAGCAUUGUUGGUCAGAUGAAAUAGUACAUGGCUUUUCCAGGAGGACUUAUCAGAAGAGCUGAUCCUCCAGAUGUCCACAGCCAGACUCCUUCCUCCAACAGAGCAGCUGAGACACAGUGGAGAAUUGAUUCCACAGAGCAGCACAUUAGAAAUAACUGCCCCUGGGGCUGGAGAGAUGGCUCAGCGGUUAACAGCACUGACUGCUCUUGCAGAGGACCCAGAUACAGAAGUAAGCAUGGGAAACAUAAGGAAGCCUCAAAACAAAUAAAACAAACUUUGGCCUCAAGUAACAUUGAGAAAAAUCAUUUUCAUCAGUAAAAGCAUCACCCCCUCAGCUACUUACUUUUCCGAGGAGGAAGAGAUGUUGUCUUAUAUCUACAAGAGAAGUUUUGCCUUCUGAGCUUUGAUGCUACGAAGCCUUUCUCAAAUGGUAAAGAGACAGAUAUAUAAAUUUUCUACCUUUUUUUAAUUGGAUGCACCUAGAUUUUAUGUAAUUAUAUCGUGUAUGUCUAUGAUAAUUGCUUUCAUGUGCUGUGUCCAAAGAAAAUGUAACAAACUGUGGCCACUUUGGGGUUUUUUUCUAUUCAUUUUUGUUGUGUGCAAAAAUUAUUAUUUUAUUAUGCACAUGUGUAUAUUUAUAAAUGUAUUUAGGUGAUGUAUUAAAAGGCCCAAUAAAUACAUACUGCCUUAUAAACUUGGGUGCUCUAACUGCCCCAGCAGCCUAAGUAAGCUUGGCCACAAGUUCAGUAUGCCAACUAGGAGGACAGGAUAACAGCACAGUACAAAGAGAGGCUGUUUAAUCAAUGUGACCACUUUUGUGAAACAAGUAGAGGUGGCUAAUGGUCCUGGAUCUUUCUUUGGGAGAAUUAACAUGAUUUCUUUAUUUAAAUUUUUAAAAAUCUUUUUUAAAACACAUGAUCUACAUAAUUAUAUGAUUCUGGCCAAGAUGUUAUCUCCUUGAUCUUUGUCUUAAUUCUGGUUCUACAAUAUAGUCCCUAUUGCUUGUGGGUACAAAUUAAUUUUAAGAGAUGAUUAUUCCUGCUCCAGGGUGCAGUUUUUACUAUCAGAUAAUUGCCCUUCUCUGAGAUGCUAAACUCUUCUAUUCCAAGGAUCAAGGAUGACUUAUCUCUGUGUAUUUAAAUAUAUUUUGUUUAUGUGUGUGCAUAAAUAUAAGCAUUUUAAGGGUUUGAAGGAUAUUUUUGGUCACUAUACCCUGUUCAAAACAAACAAGUUUUUCAAGGUCUAUAUCUUAGCCAAGUCUAUGUAAGAUACAAUUCUAAACAUUUUAAAAAAUGGUCAUUUAAAAAACCUGCUUCA